AAGCUAUAAUGUGGACACUUUCUCAACGGUCUUUGAAUCUCUCCCAAGCUUCAUAGUAACUCUCUUGAUCAUGGCCGGCAAAAGUCAUUAUCUCAUUACGAAGCUU
rfam:Jatropha curcas cultivar GZQX0401 scaffold82_40, whole genome shotgun sequence.